rnacentral:rRNA from 1 species
ACGAGAUCUCCCAUUCUGAAAGAGAAGUAAGACCCCUUGAAGACUACGAGGUGGAUAGACCAGGGAUGGAAGUGCAGAGAUGCAUGGAGUUGACUGGCACUAAUCGGUCGAGGACUUGAUCUA